rnacentral:snRNA from 1 species
ACACUGGGAGAACGGUAGAGGCUCAUCCAUUGCACUCCGGGUGUGCUGACCCCUGCGAUUUCCCCAAAUGUGGGAAACUUGACUGCAUAAUUUGUGGACC